GAUGAACGCUGGCGGCGUGCCUAAUACAUGCAUGUAGAACGCUGAAGGAGGAGCUUGCUCUUCUGGAUGAGUUGCGAACGGGUGAGUAACGCGUAGGUAACCUGCCUGGUAGCGGGGGAUAACUAUUGGAAACGAUAGCUAAUACCGCAUGACAACAGUUAUUGCAUGAUAACUGUUUAAAAGGGGCAACUGCUCCACUACCAGAUGGACCUGCGUUGUAUUAGCUAGUUGGUGAGGUAACGGCUCACCAAGGCGACGAUACAUAGCCGACCUGAGAGGGUGAUCGGCCACACUGGGACUGAGACACGGCCCAGACUCCUACGGGAGGCAGCAGUAGGGAAUCUUCGGCAAUGGACGGAAGUCUGACCGAGCAACGCCGCGUGAGUGAAGAAGGUUUUCGGAUCGUAAAGCUCUGUUGUAAGAGAAGAACGAGUGUGAGAGUGGAAAGUUCACACUGUGACGGUAUCUUACCAGAAAGGGACGGCUAACUACGUG
rnacentral:rRNA from 1 species